AAUAGAUACCCCGGUAGUCCACGCCGUAAACGAUGAGUGCUAAGUGUUGGGGGGUUUCCGCCCCUCAGUGCUGCAGCUAACGCAUUAAGCACUCCGCCUGGGGAGUACGGUCGCAAGACUGAAACUCAAAGGAAUUGACGGGGGCCCGCACAAGCGGUGGAGCAUGUGGUUUAAUUCGAAGCAACGCGAAGAACCUUACCAGGUCUUGACAUCCCGGUGACCACUAUGGAGACAUAGUUUCCCCUUCGGGGGCAACGGUGACAGGUGGUGCAUGGUUGUCGUCAGCUCGUGUCGUGAGAUGUUGGGUUAAGUCCCGCAACGAGCGCAACCCUUAUUCUUAGUUGCCAUCAUUCAGUUGGGCACUCUAAGGAGACUGCCGGUGAUAAACCGGAGGAAGGUGGGGAUGACGUCAAAUCAUCAUGCCCCUUAUGACCUGGGCUACACACGUGCUACAAUGGACGGUACAAACGGUUGCCAACCCGCGAGGGGGGANCUAAUCCGAUAAAACCGUUCUCGGUUCGGAUUGUAGGCUGCAACUCGCCUACAUGAACG
rnacentral:rRNA from 1 species